rnacentral:lncRNA from 1 species
GGAGGUGUUGAUUCUAAUAGACAGUACGGAGUAGUGGGAGAGUGGAGGUGUUGAUUCUAGAAGACAGUAUGGAGGAGUGGAGGUGUUGAUUCUAGAAGACAGUUUGGAGGAGUGAAAGAGAGGAGGUGUUGAUUCUAGUAGACAGUAUAGAGGAGUGGAGGUGUUGAUUCUAGAAGACAGUAUUGAGGAGUGGAGGUGUUGAUUCUAGCAGACAGUAUAGAGGAGUGGAGGUGUUGAUUCUAAUAACCAGUAUAGAGGAGUGGAGAUGUUGAUUCUAGAAGACAGUAAGGAGGAGUGGAGGUGUUGAUUCUAGAAGACAGUUUGGAGGAGUGAAAGAGUGGAGGUGUUGAUUCUAGUAGACAGUAUAGAGGAGUGGAGGGGUUGAUUCUAGAAGACAGUUUGGAGGAGUGGAGAUGUAGAUUAUAGUAGACAGUAUGGAGGGGUGGAGGUGUUGAUUCUAGAAGACAGUAUGGAGGAGUGGAUGUGUUGAUUCUAGAAGACAGUUAGGAGGAGUGGAGGUGUUGAUUCUAGAAGACAGUAUGGAGGAGUGGAUGUGUUGAUUCUAGUAGACAGUAUGGAGGAGUGGAGGUGUUGAUUCUAGUAGACAGUAUGAAGGAGUGGAGGUGUUGAUUCUAGAAGACAGUAUGGAGGAGUGGAGGUGUUGAUUCCAGUAGACAUUAUGGAGGAGUGGAGGUGUUGAUUCUAGAAGAGAGUAUGGAGGAGUGAAAGAGUGGAGGUGUUGAUUCUAGUAGACAGUAUAGAGGAGUGGAGGGGUUGAUUCUAGAAGACAGUUUGGAGGAGUGGAGAUGUAGAUUAUAGUAGACAGUAUGGAGGGGUGGAGGUGUUGAUUCUAG